rnacentral:rRNA from 1 species
UACAGAGGGGCAAGGCGUUGUUCGGAAUUGACUGGGCGUAAGGGCGCGAGUAGGCGGCCCGCUAAGUCGAACGUGAAAUCCCCGAGCUCAACUCGGGAACUGCGUCCGAUACUGGUGGGCUUGAAUCCGGGAGAGGGAUGCGGAAUUCCAGGUGUAGCGGUGAAAUGCGUAGAUAUCAGGAGGAACACCGAUGGCGAAGGCAGGUCUCUGGGCUGACACUGACGCUCAUGCACGAAAGCGUGGGGAGCAAACGGG